rnacentral:rRNA from 1 species
AGGGCAUACGGCGGAUGCCUAGGCGCCAUCAGCCGAUGAAGGACGCGGUAAGCUGCGAAAAGCUACGGGGAACUGCAAGCAAGUAUUGAUCCGUAGAUGUCCGAAUGGGGAAACCCACCUGCCGUCAUGGGCAGGUAUCCGAAAGGAAGGGAACCCGGGGAACUGAAACAUCUAAGUACCCGGAGGAAGAGAAAUCAAACGAGAUGCCCACAGUAGCGGCGAGCGAAGAGGGCAGAGGGCAAACCGGGGAGCUACGGCUCUUCGGGGUUGAGGACUGCAUUUAGUCUUAAUGGUCUAUCCGAACUACCUGGAAAGGUAGGCAACACAGUGUAAAAGCCACGUAGGUUAAAGGCCAGAGAGAUGAGCAGUAUCCAGAGUACCACGAGGCACGAGGAAUCUUGUGGGAAGCCGGGGGGACCACCCUCCAACCCUAAACACUGAAUGGCGACCGAUAGCGCAUAGUACCGUGAGGGAAAGGUGAAAAGAACCCCGGGAGGGGAGUGAAAGAGAACCUGAAACCGUAUGUCUACAAGCAGUCGGAGCGAAAGCGACGGCGUGCCUAUUGAAGAAUGAACCAACGAGUUACGUGCACUAGCGAGGUUAAGUGGAAGACACGGAGCCGAAGCGAAAGCGAGUCUUAAGAGGGCGGAUAGUUAGUGUACGUAGACCCGAAACCGCAGUGAUCUACCCAUGUCCAGGUUGAAGCGCAGGUAAAAUUGCGUGGAGGACCGAACCUGUGAGCGUUGAAAAGCUUUAGGAUGAGAUGUGGGUAGAGGUGAAAUUCCAAUCGAACGCGGAGAUAGCUGGUUCUCCCCGAAAUAGCUUUAGGGCUAGCCUCAAGUAGUAAGUAUAGGCGGUAGAGCACUGAUCGGGCUAGGGGCCAUAAAGGUUACCGAACCCUGUCAAACUCCGAAUGGUUAUACUGUAGAGCUUGGGAGUCAGACUACGAGUGAUAAGAUCCGUGGUCAAAAGGGAAACAGCCCAGACCACCAGCUAAGGUCCCCAAUGUCGUACUAAGUGGAAAAGGAUGUGGGGUCUCUAAAACAACCAGGAUGUUGGCUUAGAAGCAGCCACCAUUUAAAGAGUGCGUAAUAGCUCACUGGUCGAGAGACCCUGCGCCGAAGAUUACCGGGGCUAAAGUACGAAACCGAAGCUGUGGCUACGACUUAGGUCGUGGGGUAGGGGAGCGUUCUGUGAGGGCUGAAGUCGUUCUGUAAGGAACGGUGGACUUCACAGAAGUGAGAAUGUUGGUAUGAGUAGCGAAAAGAAUGGUGAGAAUCCAUUCCACCGAAAGCAUAAGGAUUCCUGGGCAACGAUCGUCGUCCCAGGGUAAGUCGGGACCUAAUCCGAGGCAUGGAGCGUAGGAGAUGGACAACUGGCAGAUAUUCCAGUACCGGUAAUGAUUGUUUGAGCGAUGGAGUGACACAGGAGGGCAGGCAGGCAGGAGAUUGGUUGUUCCUGUACAAGCGUGUAGGGUGGAACGUAGGCAAAUCCGCGUUCUGAGAGCCUGAGGCGUGAUGUGGAGGUUCCGGAAACGGAACCGAAGCUGCUGACCCCACACUGUCGAGAAAAGCUUCUAGUUAGAGAAUUACCGCCCGUACCGUAAACCGACACAGGUAUGCGGGGAGAGAAUCCUAAGGUGCGCGGGAGAACCCUCGUUAAGGAACUCGGCAAAAUGUACCCGUAACUUCGGGAUAAGGGUAGCCGCUGUUGUGAAGUCUGAACAGACGGAGCAUGAGGCGGUCGCAGAGAAGAGGCCCAAGCGACUGUUUACCACAAACACAGGUGCCUGCUAAAGAGAAAUCUGACGUAUAGGUGCUGACACCUGCCCAGUGCCGGAAGGUUAAGGAAGGAUGUCCGGAGCAAUCCAAAGCAUUCGACCGAAGCCCCGGUGAACGGCGGCCGUAACUAUAACGGUCCUAAGGUAGCGAAAUUCCUUGUCGGGUAAGUUCCGACCCGCACGAAAGGUGUAACGAUUUGGGCACUGUCUCAACGAGGGACCCGGUGAAAUUGAAGUACCUGUGAAGAUGCAGGUUACCCGCGACUGGACAGAAAGACCCCAUGGAGCUUUACUGUAACCUGACAUUGGGUUCUGAUACAUCACGUACAGGAUAGGUGGGAGGCAUGGAAGCGAGGACGCUAGUCUUCGUGGAGCCGCCGUUGGGAUACCACCCUUGAUGUAUCGGAAUUCUAACCGUAGGAGUAACGAAACUCGGGACAGUGUCAGGCGGGCAGUUUGACUGGGGCGGUCGCCUCCCAA